UUACUUACCUGGCAGGAGAGAUACCAUGAUCACGAAGGUGGUUUUCCUGGGGAAAGGCUUAUCCAUUGCACUCUGGAUGUGCUGACCCUGUGAUUUCCCUAAACGUGGGAAACUCAACUACAGAAUUUUUAGCAGUGUGGGAGUGCCUUCACACACUACCCUGA